AACGCUUGAUACACACGGCUAUAGGCUACUCCUUGUGUUCCAGGGUGAGGAUAAUCGGCAGCUCAACCCUGGCCCUGUUCCUGAUAGCCACGGGGGCGGCUGAGGCCUACUACCAGUAUGGGCUGCACUGCUGGGACAUCGCCGCCGCUACUGUUGUCAUCCGAGAGGCCGGGGGAGUUGUCAUAGGCACCACAGGCCUGGGGUGUUGCACAAAAGGACCACUGUUGAGAGACGGAGGGACUGGGCGUGAGGUCGGGAUCAUGUGGUCAGCUGCCGUUCAGUCUCUGGCAGGCCAGAAGCUCAGCUAUCAGCUCCUUCCCUGAAAUGGGGUCUUCUCGACCUCAUGUCCUGAAGUGGUUGCUGCAGGAACCCACAACAUGGCCAGUUACAUCGUCCAGCAACUGCAGCCAAUCGGCUACGAGUGGGAUGACAGUGACCCUGGUUUGCAAAAGUAAAAGUCGACCUCCAUCUAUCCAGUGGAUUCUCCUCCGCCUUUCACCUCAAAUCAUGAAAUACUGCUGCAGAGUCUGCUCUUUU